AUCCAGCUGACGAGUCCCAAAUAGGACGAAACAUGAUUCCUGGAU
rfam:Schistosoma mansoni strain Puerto Rico chromosome 6, complete genome